rnacentral:sRNA from 1 species
GCCUGGUGUGGUGACACAUGCCUGUAAUCCCAGCCACUCAGAAGGCUGAGGCAGGAGGAUCACAAGUUCGAGGCCAGCCACAGCAACUUAGUGAGACCCUGCCUCAA